CAGUAGGGAAUCUUCCGCAAUGGACGAAAGUCUGACGGAGCAACGCCGCGUGAACGAUGAAGGCUUUCGGGUCGUAAAGUUCUGUUGUCAGGGAAGAACAAGUACCGGAGUAACUGCCGGUACCUUGACGGUACCUGACCAGAAAGCCACGGCUAACUACGUGCCAGCAGCCGCGGUAAUACGUAGGUGGCAAGCGUUGUCCGGAAUUAUUGGGCGUAAAGCGCGCGCAGGCGGUUCCUUAAGUCUGAUGUGAAAGCCCCCGGCUCAACCGGGGAGGGUCAUUGGAAACUGGGGAACUUGAGUGCAGAAGAGGAGAGCGGAAUUCCACGUGUAGCGGUGAAAUGCGUAGAGAUGUGGAGGAACACCAGUGGCGAAGGCGGCUCUCUGGUCUGUAACUGACGCUGAGGCGCGAAAGCGUGGGGAGCGAACAGGAUUAGAUACCCUGGUAGUCCACGCCGUAAACGAUGAGUGCUAAGUGUUA
rnacentral:rRNA from 1 species